CGGUUGGUUUCGGAAGAGUUUUGAAGAGGAUGUCCUUAGUUGGAGAAGCGCUGCAAAAUGUCGCAUACAUGUUUGCAUACGUAGCUAGGUCAGGCUACCGGCUAUCCUUAGCGAAAGCCGGCAGCGCGCCUAGCACCACAACGUAUGACUAUAUUAUACACCAAGAGCCCAUGCAGGGGACGUGCAGCUGCAGGCAACAUCGCCACGAUGCCCUUAAAUGCGCUGAAAGCACGCGACAUGCGAACACCUCAACGUCAAGCUGCAUUUCCGUCAACGUCCCACACAACCGCACACAUACGCACUCUUAUUAUCUCGAGACAAGACCGCAGACGCAUGGCACCAGCUCAGAACUUUCGUAGCCGCCCGGGGCCCACACGCUGCCGGUGCGCUUCAUCAUAUGCCAUCCCAUGAAAUCCCUCCAGACUCAAAAGCAUUUAACAUAUCCGGCCUGCUGGCGCCGCGAACAGCCCGUACUUUUCAUUUCAGUAUUGAGUCUCGUAGUUAUUUGCUUCAAGCCGGAAACACCGUGCAAGCCGUUGUGCAAACGGACGGGCCUCAUGGUUAUGCGCGACCUGCACGAGCGCACCAAACUCACAGACGUGCGCGAGACCAUUUCCCUUCAUAUGAGCGCAUGCACCGCACUGGCGAGCACACAAACUUCAUACGCAGCGCACAUGUCGAAAAGUUAAGGUUGGCGGGAGAGCUCGGCAUCCAUCCAUGCAACCAAAAACCUUACGAACCGCGCCACCUCUCACCCUCCGCGCUCUGUCAACCGCAUGGCAACCAAAAUGAAGCACCAACAUGCGCGGCCAUGCGACCAUCCCCUACGUCGACCUUCCUGUCCACAGCUCGUGCGGCACAAGCGUUGUCAAUCGUCGGGAAGGUGCAUUCACGGCCGCCAUGGGGCGAACAGAUACUACCCUUUGCCCUAAGUGCCACUGCUGCCACGAAACGCUGCGGCCAGCAGCCCUUGGGCCAGGGCAAUACAUAUACGCCGCCCUCUUGCUUCCUACCAAUGUACAAACGUCCCGCAGA
rnacentral:lncRNA from 1 species